AACGAACGCUGGCGGCAUGCCUAACACAUGCAAGUCGAACGAGCCCUUCGGGUCUAGUGGCGCACGGGUGCGUAACGCGUGGGAACCUGCCCUUAGGUUCGGACUAACUCCCCGAAAGGGGUGCUUAUACCGGAUCAUGUCUUCGGCCCAAAGAUUUAUCGCCUUUGGAUGGUCCCGCGUUGGAUUAGCUAGUUGGUAGGGUAAAAGCCUACCAAGGCGACGAUCCAUAGCUGGUCUGAGAGGAUGAUCAGCCACACUGGGACUGAGACACGGCCCAGACUCCUACGGGAGGCAGCAGUGGGGAAUAUUGGACAAUGGGCGAAAGCCUGAUCCAGCAAUGCCGCGUGAGUGAUGAAGGCCUUAGGGUUGUAAAGCUCUUUUACCCGGGAUGAUAAUGACAGUACCGGGAGAAUAAGCCACGGCUAACUCCGUG
rnacentral:rRNA from 1 species